AUUCCAGCUCCAAUAGCGUAUAUUAAAGUUGUUGCAGUUAAAAAGCUCGUAGUUGGAUUUCUGGUGCAUUCCACUGGCCUAUUGGUUAACUCCAACUUGGCUCAUUUGGAAUACGCCAUCUUUAGGCAGACCCGUCGUGGCAUUAGGUUGUCGUGAUGGUUACGCCUAUCGUUUACUGUGAAGAAAUUAGGGUGUUCAAAGCAGGCUUAUGCCAUGAAUACGUUAGCAUGGAAUAAUGAGAUAGGAUUUCGGUACUAUUUUGUUGGUUUGUGUACGGAAAUAAUGAUUAACAGGAACAGUGUUGUGGGUAUUCGUAUUUCGUUGUCAGAGGUGAAAUUCUUGGAUUUACGAAAGACGAACGACUGCGAAAGCAUUUACCAAGGAUGUUUUCAUUA
rnacentral:rRNA from 1 species